GGGGAUUUAGCUCAGUGGUAGAGCGCUUGCCUAGCAAUCGCGAGGCCCUGGGUUCGGUCCCCAGCUCCG
rnacentral:tRNA from 1 species